rnacentral:rRNA from 1 species
ACGGGGUGCAGCAGGCGCGAAACCUUUGCAAUACACGAAAGUGUGACAGGGUCAUCCCGAGUGCCGACCGCUGAGGUUGGCUUUUACCCAGUCUAGAAAGCUGGGGGAAUAAGGAGAGGGCAAGUCUGGUGUCAGCCGCCGCGGUAAUACCAGCUCUUCGAGUGGUGUGGACGUUUAUUGGGCCUAAAGCAUCCGUAGCUGGCUGAUCAAGUCCCCUGUUAAACCCACCGAUUUAAUCGUUGGUCUGCGGGGGAUACUGCUCGGCUAGGGGACGAGAGAGGCAGACGGUAUUCCCGGGGUAGGGGUGAAAUCCUAUAAUCCCGAGAAGACCACCAGUGGCGAAGGCUGUCUGCUAGAACGCGCCCGACGGUGAGGGAUGAAAGCUGGGGGAGCGAACCGGAUUAGAUACCCGGGUAGUCCCAGCUGUAAACGAUGCAGGCUAGGUGUUUGGGCGGCCACGUGCCGCUCUAGUGCCGCAGGGAAGCUGUUAAGCCUGCCACCUGGGGAGUACGAUCGCAAGAUUGAAACUUAAAGGAAUUGGCGGGGGAGCAC